UACGGAGGGUGCGAGCGUUAAUCGGAAUUACUGGGCGUAAAGCGCACGUAGGUGGUUCGUUAAGUCGGAUGUGAAAUCCCUGGGCUUAACCUGGGAACUGCAUUCAAAACUGCACGGCUAGAGUACGGGAGAGGGGGGUAGAAUUCCAGGUGUAGCGGUGAAAUGCGUAGAGAUCUGGAGGAAUACCGAUGGCGAAGGCAGCCCCCUGGCCUGAUACUGACACUGAGGUGCGAAAGCAU
rnacentral:rRNA from 1 species